AGACACCAGGGUCAAAAAGCCAUGUUUUUCUCGUGCUUGCACGAGAAAAAACAUGGCUUUGGGACCCACCAAAUCAUGAGGAUGCAGCGAUUUCCAAAGGAAAUCAGCGAAUCCUCAUGAUUUGCAGAAUUGCGAGAGCUGCAAAGCAGCGAAGCAAUUCGUGAGGUGUCG
rnacentral:sRNA from 1 species